rnacentral:rRNA from 1 species
UACAGAGGUCCCGAGCGUUGUUCGGAUUCACUGGGCGUAAAGGGUGCGUAGGUGGCAUAGAAAGUUUGAUGUGAAAGCUCAGGGCUUAACCCUGAAAUGGCAUUGAAUACUGCUGUGCUGGAGGUUUGGAGGGGGGACUGGAAUUCUUGGUGUAGCAGUGAAAUGCGUAGAUAUCAAGAGGAACACCAGUGGCGAAGGCGAGUCCCUGGACAACACCUGACACUGAGGAGCGAAAGCGUGGGGAGCGAACAGG